AUGCCCAAAAGAAAGGCUGAAGGGGAUGCUAAAGGAGACAAAACCAAGGUGAAGGACAAGCCACAAAGAAGAUCUGCAAGGUUGUCUGCUAAACCUGCUCCUCCAAAGCCAGAGCCCAAGCCUAAAAUGGCCCACAGCAAAGAAGAGAGAGAAGGUACCCAAGGGGAGGAGGGAGAAAGCCGAUGCCAGUAAGGAUGCGAAUAAUCCAGCAGAAAAUGGAGAUGCCAAAACAGACCAGGCACAGAAAGCUGAAGGUGCUGGAGAUGCCAAGUGA
rnacentral:lncRNA from 1 species